rnacentral:rRNA from 1 species
ACAGCAGUCGCCACGGUAAUGCGAAGGGUGCAAGCGUUACUCGGAAUUACUGGGCGUAAAGCGUGCGUAGGUGGUGGUUUAAGUCCGUUGUGAAAGCCCUGGGCUCAACCUGGGAAUUGCAGUGGAUACUGGGUCACUAGAGUGUGGUAGAGGAUAGUGGAAUUUCCGGUGUAGCAGUGAAAUGCGUAGAGAUCGGGAGGAACAUCAGUGGCGAAGGCGGCCAUCUGGGACAACACUGACGCUGAGGCACGAAAGCGUGGGGAGCAAACAGGAUUAGAUACCCCCGUAGUCCCUGUCUCUUAUAC